AUUGCAUACUCAAUUGAAUACCUCAUAAAUAAAAUUAAUUCAUAAUAACCUUAAUUCCCAAUUCUCAUAACUUAAUUUACUCCAAUUCGGACCCAAUUAAUCAAAUAUCAAUUUUACAAAUCUGAAUCGAAUAUUUAAUUAAACUCCCAUACAGUCUGAUAUUCGAAAUUAAAAUAAUUUAAUUUACUAAUUAUACCCUCUUGAGCCAUGUAGGAUUUCAAUUUCUAAUUCCAAAAUAAAUCCUCAAUAGAAUCAUAUACGAAUCAGAUUGAAUAAUUCUUAUAAAUCCCAAAUUAAAUUAGAAUAAUGGGCAAUUAAAAUUCAAAUCUCUUUAAUUAAUUAAGUGCUAAUUACUAUACGUGAUAGGGUCGUCACAACUUGUCUUUGAUUCCUAACACUUUUAUAUCUGAUGCUUUGUGUUUUUCUACCAUUUUUUCGGGGAGGGUUAUUUCAAGCAGAGGAAAACUUUAGAAAAUAGAAAGGCGAUCAAAACCACUCUUAGCUACGAGAAGCGUUCUCCUUCCAAGUUAUUGGGAUACAAGUCGACAUACAACUCCAAUAUUCUGCAAAAGUCAAUUCUUUCAGCCUACCUUUAUAAGUGGCCCGAAUCGAAUGAGGAGAUUGAGGUUGAGCAAGUUGGUACAUUCUCUACCGCUGUACAGGGGCCAUGCAAAUUCGAGAGUAGUAAGGGUUACUCUCCACUCCUUUACCAACUAGAGAGGGAGAAGACAUGUCGAGGAACAGAGUAUUAUUAGAUUUACAAGCUGCUGUUCUUGGCACCGACCCUUCCCCAAUUGAGGUUGCUGAUCUGUUACAACCAAACGUCUAUGACCAACUGAGCAAACAUCGGGGGUAGUCUUAGUUGCUGCGACCACGGCUGUAACUGCCUCGAUUUCGAACCAAGCGAAGGGAAAGAAGAAAGAUAAGUGAAAAGGUAAUGCUAGUGCUGGACCGAAAGAGAAGACAUGACCUAAUUUUUGGGAGCCCGAGCUCGAGCACAAUGGCCGAUCGAUUGAUUCUAAUGGCUCGGCUGUGAGUUCGGCUGCUUUGGUUUUCAAUCUUUCGAAGGCUUUGCUUCUUCCACUUGAUAUGGCCGAGCAUAACAUUCAUGUAAACAGUGACUUGAUGAAGAAUGCUUUGCAAUCUAUGGUGGUGGCUAACUAAAAGACUUACCUAGCACUUGGCUAUUAUGAUGAGAUUGAGCAACAGCUUCUUAAAUCGAGAGAGCGGGUUCGUGUGGUGAUUAGGGCUUUGGAGUUAAAAGGAGAAGAAAAAAGAGAUUGAGUAGGAAAAAGCAAGGUUGAAGUAAGGCCUUGCAAUUUCUGAAAAGGCCAGGUUGCUUGCAGCUCAGGCUGUGAAGAAGGAUGAAGCUCAGAUAGUCGAGUUGAAGGUCAGGUUGAUGCUUGCAAAGGACUGUUAUUGGCAGCAAGCUUCGGAUGAGGCCAGUGUUGCUUAUUUAAUUGAGGUCCAUAAAGCAAAAGAUGGGAUUUACGCCCAAGCUUGGAAUGAUGCUUUGACUGCGACCAAGGUGUUAAAGGGUUCUCCUCUUUAUAAGGAGAUCCCAGCAUUAUCAACAGGAAAGGCUCAACCGACCACCCAAUAGAUUGUACCAUCAAGUGCUUCUAUUACACUUCAUGUUGUUGAUCAAUCGACUCUUCCACUAGUACUGUGGUUGGACAGGGUGCUUUGGUUGCACCAAAACCUUUUGCUGAUCUGAUUAUUGUUUAAGAGACCAUGUUGCCGACUGAUUCUAUUGUUCCUUUUGAUGCUCCUCAAAAAUAGCUCUUUCAUUUUUAUGCACUUUUCCUUUUGGCAACUCCCAUUGAGGAGUUUGGUUGCUUUUAGAGGAUGUAAGGUAGAACUUCUUGGUUUUUGUAACUGUUAUAAGAUUAUCGAUGAGAUGUUCUAUGUUUUUGCCA